CCUACGGGAGGCAGCAGUGGGGAAUAUUGGACAAUGGGCGCAAGCCUGAUCCAGCAAUGCCGCGUGAGUGAUGAAGGCCUUAGGGCCGUAAAGCUCUUUUACCAGGGAUGAUAAUGACAGUACCUGGAGAAUAAGCUCCGGCUAACUCCGUGCCAGCAGCCGCGGUAAUACGGAGGGAGCUAGCGUUGUUCGGAAUUACUGGGCGUAAAGCGUACGUAGGCGGUUAUUCAAGUCAGAGGUGAAAGCCCGGGGCUCAACCCCGGAACGGCCUUUGAAACUAGGUAGCUAGAAUCUUGGAGAGGUCAGUGGAAUUCCGAGUGUAGAGGUGAAAUUCGUAGAUAUUCGGAAGAACACCAGUGGCGAAGGCGACUGACUGGACAAGUAUUGACGCUGAGGUACGAAAGCGUGGGGAGCAAACAGGAUUAGAUACCCUGGUAGUCCACGCCGUAAACGAUGAUAACUAGCUGUUCGGGCACUUGGUGCUUGAGUGGCGCAGCUACGCAUUAAGUUAUCCGUCCGUCGGGUAGGUACGGUCGCGAGAAUUAAACUUAACAAAGGAAAGUUAGUACGGCGUGAGACGUGCCGAACGGACGACCGACGAGGGAGGUAGG
rnacentral:rRNA from 1 species